rnacentral:rRNA from 1 species
UACGUAGGCAGCGAGCGUUGUUCGGAGUUACUGGGCGUAAAGAGUGCGUAGGCGGUUUUCCAAGUUUGGUGUGAAAUCUCCCGGCUUAACUGGGAGGGUGCGCCGAAAACUGGAAGGCUUCGAGUAUGGGAGAGGUAAGCGGAAUUCCUGGUGUAGCGGUGAAAUGCGUAGAUAUCAGGAGGAACACCUGCGGUGUAGACGGCUUGCUGGACCAUCACUGAUGCUGAGACACGAAAGCGUGGGUAGCAAACAGG